AUGGAACUGAGCCCUGGGACAGGAAGAGCCUCACCUGGGGGCACAGGAGUGGAGCUCAGGGUGAUCGCCGAACUGUCUUGUCUGCAGCCACGAAGAGAGCACCUGGCAUGGGAGUCACACCGAAUGUUCCCUCAGCCUUCUCCAGUGGACAGCAGAGACACCUGGAUCUCAGGAGAGGGAUCUCAGUCAGAGUGGGGCCUUAAUCCCCCAGCAACCCCAGACAAGACCCACCUCCUCCCAUGGUUUCUCACCCAUGUUCUCCUCAGACAGGGCCAUGGCUGCCAGCAGCACGAGACACUGACUCCAUCAGACUGUCAGCAAGGGGACGGACCUGCCAGCUCCUGGAGGAUAGGGCUGCUCUUUUUACAGGAGUAUGCUUCCGGAGCUAGUCACGGUGGCCUGCGUGCAGUACACACUGUAUAUAUAACGCUAAAGAAAGCCACUUCACUCCCUGUGUUGUAAAACCUCAGGCCAGACUGAGACUUUUCCUGGUGAUGAGGAUCAAGGCUGCCCCAGGGAGAGAAGCCCAAGGCGUCCUGGCCCACAUGCCAAUCUAUAUCAUCCUCCGGGAAGCACAGGACGUCUGACAUGAUCCGACCUGAUUCGUAUCCAGAGUUAUAGAACCACCCAAUAACCAGACCCCACCUGCACUGACACAAUUUUAACGACUUUUUUACAUGAUCUUUCCUUUGUCUUGUAAAGAAAUAACUCACAUACCCAUGCCUUAUAAAUUGAGCCCUGCCCUCAACCCAUUGCAGCUCUUCACUGCCCAUGGGGCCUGUCCUCAUGCUAUUCUCUGAAUAAAGGAGCACUACUACCAGACCCUGAGAGUCCG
rnacentral:lncRNA from 1 species